rnacentral:rRNA from 1 species
AUUGAACGCUGGCGGCAUGCUUUACACAUGCAAGUCGAACGGCAGCGCGGGCUUCGGCCUGGCGGCGAGUGGCGAAUGGGUGAGUAAUGCAUCGGAACGUGCCCAGUAGUGGAGGAUAGCCCGGCGAAAGCCGGAUUAAUACCGCAUACGACCUGAGGGUGAAAGCGGGGGACCGAAAGGCCUCGCGCUAUUGGAGCGGCCGAUGUCGGAUUAGCUAGUUGGUGGGGUAAAGGCUUACCAAGGCGACGAUCCGUAGCUGGUCUGAGAGGACGACCAGCCACACUGGGACUGAGACACGGCCCAGACUCCUACGGGAGGCAGCAGUGGGGAAUUUUGGACAAUGGGGGCAACCCUGAUCCAGCCAUGCCGCGUGCGGGAAGAAGGCCUUCGGGUUGUAAACCGCUUUUGUUCGGGAAGAAAUCCUCUGGGCUAAUACCCCGGGGGGAUGACGGUACCGGAAGAAUAAGCACCGGCUAACUACGUG